UAAUACAUGCAAGUCGAGCGAAUGACGAGGAGCUUGCUCCUCUGAUUUAGCGGCGGACGGGUGAGUAACACGUGGGCAACCUGCCCUGCAGACUGGGAUAACUUCGGGAAACCGGAGCUAAUACCGGAUAAUCCAUUUUACUUCAUGGUGAAAUGUUGAAAGGCGCUUUCGCGCCACUGCAGGAUGGGCCCGCGGUGCAUUAGCUAGUUGGUGGGGUAACGGCCUACCAAGGCGACGAUGCAUAGCCGACCUGAGAGGGUGAUCGGCCACAUUGGGACUGAGACACGGCCCAAACUCCUACGGGAGGCAGCAGUAGGGAAUCUUCCACAAUGGACGAAAGUCUGAUGGAGCAACGCCGCGUGAGUGAUGAAGGUUUUCGGAUCGUAAAACUCUGUUGUAAGGGAAGAACAAGUACGUUAGGAAAUGAACGUACCUUGACGGUACCUUAUUAGAAAGCCACGGCUAACUACGUGCCAGCAGCCGCGGUAAUACGUAGGUGGCAAGCGUUGUCCGGAUUUAUUGGGCGUAAAGCGCGCGCAGGUGGUUUCUUAAGUCUGAUGUGAAAUCUCGCGGCUCAACCGCGAGCGGUCAUUGGAAACUGGGGAACUUGAGUGCAGAAGAGGAUAGUGGAAUUCCAAGUGUAGCGGUGAAAUGCGUAGAGAUUUGGAGGAACACCAGUGGCGAAGGCGACUGUCUGGUCUGUAACUGACACUGAGGCGCGAAAGCGUGGGGAGCAAACAGGAUUAGAUACCCUGGUAGUCCACGCCGUAAACGAUGAGUGCUAAGUGUUUAGGGGGUUUCCGCCCCUUAGUGCUGCAGCUAACGCAUUAAGCACUCCGCCUGGGGGAGUACGACCGCAAGGUUGAAACUCAAAGGAAUUGACGGGGGCCCGCACAAGCGGUGGAGCAUGUGGUUUAAUUCGAAGCAACGCGAAGAACCUUACCAGGUCUUGACAUCCCAGUGACCGCUCUAGAAGAUAGAGUUUUCCCUUCGGGGACAUUGGUGACAGGUGGGUGCAUGGUUGUCGUCAGCUCGUGUCGUGAAAAGUUUGGGUUAAGUCCCGCAACGAGCGCAACCCUUGAUCUUAGUUGCCAUCAUUUAGUUGGGCACUCUAAGGUGACUGCCGGUGACAAACCGGAGAGAAAGGUGGGGGAUGAAGUCAAAUCAUCCUGGCCCCUUAUGAACUGGGGCUACCACCGUGGUUACAAUGGGACGGGUACAAAGAAUUCCCAAACUCCGCGGAGACAAACUAUAUCUCUUAAAACCGUUUUCUCAUUUCGGAAUUGUAGGGUGGAAACUCCCCUCACUUAAAACCCGGAAUCUCUUUAUAAUCCGGGAUACACUUGGCCGCGGUGGAAAAAAUUUCCCGGGCCUUUUUUAAAAAA
rnacentral:rRNA from 1 species